rnacentral:rRNA from 1 species
GAUGAACGCUAGCGGGAGGCCUAACACAUGCAAGCCGAGCGGUAUGGUACCUUCGGGUACUAGAGAGCGGCGAACGGGUGCGGAACACGUGUGCAACCUACCUUUAUCUGGGAGAUAGCCUUUCGAAAGGAAGAUUAAUACCCCAUAAUAUACUGAAUGGCAUCAUUGAGUAUUGAAAGCUCCGGCGGAUAGAGAUGGGCACGCGCAAGAUUAGUUAGUUGGUGAGGUAACGGCUCACCAAGACUGUGAUCUUUAGGGGGCCUGAGAGGGUGAUCCCCCACACUGGUACUGAGACACGGACCAGACUCCUACGGGAGGCAGCAGUGAGGAAUAUUGGACAAUGGGUGCAAGCCUGAUCCAGCCAUCCCGCGUGAAGGACGACUGCCCUAUGGGUUGUAAACUUCUUUUGUACAGGGAUAAACCUACCCUCGUGAGGGUAGCUGAAGGUACUGUACGAAUAAGCACCGGCUAACUCCGUGCCAGCCGCCGCCGUAACAC